UUGGAUUUGGAGUGAGAGAACAUGAGUUCCUAUCCAGACUUAUUUAGGUAAGUCACUUUCCAUCUCUGGACCUCAGUUUCCUCCUCUGUCAAAUGGGGAGGUUGGGACCAGGAGACUCCUAAGGUUCCUUCCAGCUCUUGGUCUAUAAUUCCAAGGAGCCAAUGGCUAUGUCCAUGUCUUGGCCUUUAUCCUCUCCCUAUUGUAUUCAGUUCUAGAGCCAUAACUGAUGGAUGGUAAUGAGUUGGAGAAUGUCAAGAGAGUAGCAACUGUGAGAGUGAAGAGCUCUGCGAGUGUGCCACAGGAAAAUCAUCCGAAGGAGCCUGGAAUAUUUAGCUGGAGAAAUAGAUUCAAGGGAAACAUGACAACUACAGUCAAGUCCAUGGAGGUACUGUCUUCCUCCAUUAAAAUGCAUGCUUCUGAAGGGCAGACUGGCAUACAAUAAAGAAACUGAGGCUCUGGGAGGACUUGCAUAGUCACACAUCAAGUUUCCAAAUAUGGAUCAAAUCCAGUUUUUCUUGCUCCCUGCCCAGUGCCUUUUUCCCUAGAUAAAACAAC
rnacentral:lncRNA from 1 species